rnacentral:rRNA from 1 species
UACGUAGGUGGCAAGCGUUGUCCGGAUUUACUGGGCGUAAAGAGCGCGCAGGCGGUCGUGCAAGUCGCGUGUGAAAGCCCCCGGCUCAACUGGGGAGGGUCACGCGAUACUGCUCGACUUGAAGGCAGGAGAGGGAAGUGGAAUUCCCGGUGUAGUGGUGAAAUGCGUAGAUAUCAGGAAGAACACCAAUGGCGAAAGCAGCUUUCUGGGACGGUACUGACGCUGAGACGCGAAAGCGUGGGGAGCGAACAGG